rnacentral:rRNA from 1 species
GUGGGGAAUAUUGGACAAUGGGCGCAAGCCUGAUCCAGCCAUGCCGCGUGAGUGAUGACGGCCUUAGGGUUGUAAAGCUCUUUCGCCCGCGACGAUAAUGACGGUAGCGGGAGAAGAAGCCCCGGCUAACUUCGUGCCAGCAGCCGCGGUAAUACGAAGGGGGCUAGCGUUGUUCGGAAUCACUGGGCGUAAAGGGUGCGCAGGCGGAUCCUUGAGUCAGGGGUGAAAGGCCGGGGCUCAACCCCGGAACGGCCUUUGAUACUGGGGAUCUUGAGUCCGGAAGAGGUGGGUGGAACUGCGAGUGUAGAGGUGAAAUUCGUAGAUAUUCGCAAGAACACCGGUGGCGAAGGCGGCCCACUGGUCCGGAACUGACGCUCAUGCACGACAGCGUGGGGAGCAAACAGG